GAUGAACGCUGGCGGCGUGCUUAACACAUGCAAGUCGAACGAUGAAGCCAAGCUUGCUGGGUGGAUUCGUGGCGAACGGGUGAGUAACACGUGAGUAACCUGCCCUUAACUCUGGGAUAAGCCUGGGAAACUGGGUCUAAUACCGGAUAGGAGCGUCCACCGCAUGGUGGGUGUUGGAAAGAUUUAUCGGUUUUGGAUGGACUCGCGGCCUAUCAGCUCGUUGGUGAGGUAAUGGCUCACUAAGGCGACGACGGGUAGCCGGCCUGAGAGGGUGACCGGCCACACUGGGACUGAGACACGGCCCAGACUCCUACGGGAGGCAGCAGUGGGGAAUAUGGCACAAUGGGCGCAAGCCUGAUGCAGCGACGCCGCGUGAGGGAUGACGGCCUUCGGGUUGUAAACCUCUUUCAGUAGGGAAGAAGCGAAAGUGACGGUACCUGCAGAAGAAGCACCGGCUAACUACGUG
rnacentral:rRNA from 1 species